AAGAUCCUGCGAUGUGCGUAAGGCUCUAAAUGUUUCUAACCUUAUACGUAUGAUCUGGGAGACAGAACUUCACGGAUAUGUCAGGCCCACCUCCCGACGGGACGCAUGGGAAGGCAGACACGUGGACGGGUCACCCACCUGUGUGAGCGCAGGUUAUAGAAACAUGAGGUCGGACGGCAGAGCGGGUUUUUU
rnacentral:other from 2 species